ensembl:lncRNA
UCUUGCCAGAUUGUGGCAUGACAUUCAACCCAUCAAUAAGAAGCCACUGGCCCCAGUUGGGUACUGUGAGAAUUACAGAAGAAUCUCAAACCAGACCCAGCCUCAAAGGAGCUGACAGUGGCAUCUCCUCCAUCACCCCAAACCAAGUAUCAUCGUAGAAAACUGUGACAAACUAACAGACUGAAGUUUAUUCUCUCUUGCAAGAAUCUUCAGAGGUCUGGGAUUCUAGACACUCUCUCCUAAAAAUUUCCAGGAUAAAAUUCCCUUCUUGUUCUACUGCUGGUGUACUCUACAAAAGAUGAUGGUGGAGAACCUCUGCAGGCGCAGGAGUCUCCUCCUCCCACCUUUCUUGAUUCCUGCCACUGAUUGCUCCCUCCCAGUGGACUGAAGGGGCUAAGGCUCAUGGCCCAAUCAGAUGUAGCUAUAAUAAAGCAGCAUGGGCAAAGGGAAGGACACAGAAACUACCAUCUAAAAAAGAUAGAGACCUGGACCUCCGUUAUCACACCUGCCCCUUUGUCUAUUUCUUCCCCCACUCCCAGAAGCCUGCAACUUUGUCUUAGUUCUUCAGUAUCUAGAACAGUGCCUGGUGUAUGGAAGAUGCUCCCAAAUUACUUUUGAAUAACAAGAACCGAUGGCCUCCAAGGACAUAAGGCAAGAGGAAACCACAUGCCAAAGUUCAAGUGUGAUCCUGAAGAUUCCUGGAGAUGGAUUCCUUUUGCUACAAGGAGAAACUCGGAAGUAUAUUUCUAGAAGUGAUGAGAGCAUUCUAAAAUAUUCUGUAAUUAUUUGUACUCUCUAUCUUAAAGUGUUCAUGAUGGUAUAAGGAUUCAGAAGGGAAACCUUUAAGCCUAGUGCUUUGAUUUAAUUAUGGGGACAGAAUGAAAAUAUGGAUUUUUGAGAGAAAGAACACUAAAAGUGGCCGAUAUUGGCCCUGGGAUAGCCCCUCUUUAAAGAGGCAAAAUGCAGUUUGGAAUAUGUAGUUUGAGAAGGACUUGCUGCAUUGUAAGGACUGUGAAGAAAUUUGUGAGGUCUGUGAGAAUGACACUGUCUUAUUCCUCUAUAUCAUGCCAUCACCCAGCAAAACUCCUGGCAGUAAAGAUGGGAGGUGGAAACAUUUGAGGAACUUCAUGAAAUGCUUUAGCAUCCACAUCACAGAAGUGAAGUCAGGCCAACCCAGCAACUACCUGCCACUGUGGCAAAUGUACCAUCUGAAGUGACUUUCAUUUUCUAGGAGGCAAGUGACAAACCACAAUGCUGUAAUUUCUUACUCAUUUGACCAAACAAUCCCAAUCGUGUUGUGCUAAUUUGGACCAAAGGCAUAGAAUGGGCAUGUCUGCUCCCUAUUCCUAACUCACUGAACUGAGCUUAGGAACAAUUUGGGAAUGGGGACUGUGGCCCAUAUUGUAUCUGUCACAGACAAAAAAAAAACACACACACAUAAGUACCCUAGUUUAUAAAUAAUAGGCCCUCUAAGAACCCACAUGACACCCUGAGCACUGGAUAGUACUUCUGAAAGUUCUGAGACAGCUGAAAAUCACACACAGGCAAGCAAGUCCCUGCUUAAAACAUAUCUAAGGAUCUGUGCAUGCAUUGUUUAUUCCAGCAACUUUACGGAAUAAAUUACACACAACAAAUUAGUUUCAGAUGGUAGGAUAUGAAUAGCUUUGUGCAGUAUAAGGGAAAGUGAACUCCCUCUUUUGACCCAACUACUUCCCAUCUCGAGCAUCUCAGACUCAGAAUCCAGAGGUAAUUCAUUUUUAAAAAUGCAAUGGAGAUCAUAAAGUUAAUAAGUGGUGAGGAUUAAAGAUUUCAAAAUGCAAUUUAUGAGUAUUGUUAACUCAUUAUGCUGUUCUAUGAUUUCUGGUUGUUGUUAUAUGCAAAACCAUGCGUAAAAUUGAACCCCUCCUUCCUCCUUCCCUUCCUUUGCACAACAAUCAAAAAUAAAUCUCUUCCUGGGGCCGGCCCCGUGGUCGAGUGGUUAAGCUCGUGUGCUCCACUUCAGCGGCCUAGGGUUUUGCCAGUUCAGAUCCUGGGCGCAGACAUGGCACCGCUCAUCAGGCCGUCUUGAGGUGGCAUCCCACAUGCCACAACUAGAAGGACCCACAACUAAAAUAUACAACUGUGAAACUGGGGGGAUUUGGGGAGAAAAAGCCAAAAAAAAAAAAAAGAAGAAGAGUGGCAACAGUUGUUAGCUCAGGUGCCAAUCUUUAAAAAAUAAAUAAAUAAAUAAAUCUCUUCCUGACAUUUCCUACCUGUACAGAAACUCCAUAAAGGAUUCAACUGAAUGCACAUUUUAAAAUCUCUCUGCAUACCCCACUGAGACAAUCAUUUGUAUUCCAGAAAGAGAUAUAGUCUCUUUUUCCCUACCAAUCUUUUGUUUGUUUGUUUUUAAUUAACACAGUAAAAUUGACUUCUUUUGGUAUAUGAUUUUACCACAUGUAUAGAGCUAUGGAACCACCACUGCAAUCAGGGUACAGAACAACUCUAUCACCCCCAAAAUUCUCUGGUGCUACUACUUUAUUAUCCCCUACCUACCUUUAACCACCAGCAAACCACUGAUCUGUUUUCUGUCGCCAUGAUUUUAUCUUUUCAAGAAUGUCAUAUAACUGUCAUGUCACUUUCCACUAAGCAAAAUGCCUUUGAGAUUCAUGCAAAUUGUUGCUUAAUAGUUUGUUCCUUUUCACUCUUGAGUUGUACUCUAUUGUAUGAAUGUAUCAGUUUGUUUAUUCACUCACCCACGAAGGAUACUUGACUUAUUUCCAGUUUGGGGCAAUUAUGAAUAGAGCUGCUAUAAACAUUUGUGUACAAGUUUUGUUGUGAAUGUAAGUUUUAAUUUCUCUGGUGUAAAUACCUAGGGUUGGGUUACUGGGUCACCUGGUACAUGUAUGUUUAACUUUAUAAGAAACUGCCAAACUUUUUCCAGAGUGGCUGUACAUAAAGUCUUUUUCAUAAGUAAAAUAAUAAAAAUUAUUAGAAGUGAUACCCUGAUAGCUUGUUCACUCAUGUUUAGCUGAUUCCAAUAAUGUUAUUUACCAUAAUAAAAUAUUG